GACGAACGCUGGCGGCGUGCCUAAUACAUGCAAGUAGAACGCUGAAGGAGGAGCUUGCUUCUCUGGAUGAGUUGCGAACGGGUGAGUAACGCGUAGGUAACCUGCCUGGUAGCGGGGGAUAACUAUUGGAAACGAUAGCUAAUACCGCAUAAGAGUAGAUGUUGCAUGACAUUUGCUUAAAAGGUGCAAUUGCAUCACUACCAGAUGGACCUGCGUUGUAUUAGCUAGUUGGUGAGGUAACGGCUCACCAAGGCAACGAUACAUAGCCGACCUGAGAGGGUGAGCGGCCAAGCUGGGACUGGGGCACGGCCCAGACUCCUACGGGAGGGAGCAGUAGGGGAUCUUCGGGAAUGGACGGAAGUCUGAACGAGCAACGCCGCGUGAGUGAAGGAGGUUUUCAGGUCGUAAAGCUCUGUUGUAAGAGAAGGACGAGUGGGAGAGUUGAAAGUGCACACUGUGACGGUAUCUUACCAGAAAGGGACGGCUAACUACGUG
rnacentral:rRNA from 1 species